AGGGUUUUUUGGGACAGCUAUGUUUUAUCUUCACAAGUCAUAAUGCCCCUAAAAAUCCCUAU
rnacentral:pre_miRNA from 1 species